CAUGUUUAUUGGCUCAUACUUUCAUUUGGAUCUCAUUGGUCAGCAUUGUGUCACAUGGCCAUGCUCAGUUUCAAGGGAGGCUGGAAAAGUACAGGCCAUGUAGUAGAAGUCAUCAAGGGAAAAAUAAAAUAGGAACAGCUGAGAUCGCAUCAGAAAUGAAGAUGAAUAAAAGUUGAUCUACUAUAUAAAACAGAUGAUCCAGCCAGAUCAGACCGCCUUCUCACAGGCAGGAGUGCUGCUCUCGCUGUGGUUCUGCUUUACAAGCCACCCUUCUUGACAGCAGCCAUCAAGCAAGAGUAUGAGGCGAAAGCGUCUAUGGAUCCUGCUGGCGUCUAUUGACCUCACACAGCUCAUUCUUCAUCACUCACUUCCUGAUACAUAGAAAUGAAGUCAGAGUGAUUGAGCACCUUGAAAGGGCCAGUGUUUCCAGCUCUGGGAGCACACUGCUGUGCUUCCCCGUUUAUUUCUCAUCAGUGGGUUUGCUUCAGCUGUUAUCCAACAGCAGGGAGACCAUUACUGCGUGAAAAUGUUCCAUGACAGUGACAUUCACUCAGUGUUCUAAAGCUCAGCAGGGGCUCUGGACUUUCUGGAUCCCUCUACAAUUAUAAGACAAGCAACUUACAUUUGAAUAGUGAUCAGACUACAAAUUUGGAAAUUCAAGCUUAUCCCUAUUUUGUGAGCCAUAGCUCAUUUUCCAUCUUCAGGUAAAAAGUCCUGAAAGUAUCAAAGACAGUUAAAAAUUCCCUGAUAGUUAGAUAAUCCAUAAACUCCAGUUUAUCUUUGAACUAGCUAGAGAUGACUUUCCCUAAGGCAUUUGUCUGUCCUCAGACCAGCAUCUUCUCUGAUGGCAUUAUCCUGUUAUGUGAACAAAGACACUGACUUUAAUUACAUGGAAAUUGAUGUUUACUGUGAACUUUUAUGAAGAGUAAUUAUUAUGUUUAAAAAGGAUCCAAAGAGUACUUACUCAUCUUACAGGCUUUGAUAUGGGUGUAAAUGCAUCUGAUCUCCAGGGUACAGUAGUAAGAUUGAAUUUGUGUGUUGAUCCACAUUUAUUUAUUAUGUUUUCAGGUAUCAUAUUUCUGAUGCCUUUGUAGUUUUUGCU
ensembl:lncRNA